rnacentral:pre_miRNA from 1 species
UAACUACUCCUUCGUCUUAAAUUUUUUUGUCUUAAGUUUGUCUAGAAAUGAAUGUAUCUAAAUAUUAAAUCGUGAUUAGAUAUAUUCAUAUUUAGACAAAUCNNNNNNAAGAAUUUUGGGACGGAGGGAGUACAGA